UCCCCGGUAGCUCAGUGGUAGAGCGCGCGCCUGUUAAGCGCUAGGUCGCUGGUUCGAAUCCAGCCCGGGGAGCCA
rnacentral:tRNA from 1 species